rnacentral:lncRNA from 1 species
AUGGGGUUGAGGCUGUGGGGCACAGGGUUGAGGCCCAGGCUCUUUGGGUCAAGCUUUUGCCCAGAGCCAAAGCCAGCUGACCUUGUCUCCUAGGAAGCCUCCUCAUUACCAUUGAGGACGUGAAUGACAAUGCACCCUAUUUUCUGCCUGAGAAUAAGACUUUUGUGAUCAUCCCUGAACUCGUGCUGCCCAACCGGGAGGUGGCUUCUGUCCGGGCCAGAGACGAUGAUUCAGGGAACAAUGGCGUCAUCCUGUUCUCCAUCCUCCGAGUAGACUUCAUCUCUAAGGACGGGGCCACCAUCCCUUUCCAGGGUGUCUUCUCGAUCUUCACCUCCUCCGAGGCCGACGUGUUCGCUGGGAGCAUUCAGUAACUGCGGGCGGCCCCGGGAGGGAGGUUGCGGGGAGGGGCCCGAUAGGAGCUUUCAGGCAGCAAGUCCCCCAUCCUGGAGGUUACAAGGGUCCUGAGGAUUCAGCUUGGGUUCCAAGACUGACCUGCGCCUCCCGCCUUCCGCAGGCCGGUGACCAGCCUCGACUCCACUCUCCAAGGCACCUACCAAGUGACAGUCCAGGCCAGGGACAGACCUUCCUUGGGUCCUUUCCUGGAAGCCACCACCACCCUGAAUCUCUUCACCGUGGACCAGAGUUACCGCUCGCGGCUGCAGUUCUCCACACCGAAGGAGGAGGUGGGCGCCAACAGACAGGCGAUUAAUGCG